UACGGAGGGAGCUAGCGUUGUUCGGAAUUACUGGGCGUAAAGCGCGCGUAGGCGGCUUUGUAAGUUAGAGGUGAAAGCCCGGGGCUCAACCCCGGAAUUGCCUUUAAGACUGCAUCGCUUGAAUCCGGGAGAGGUGAGUGGAAUUCCUAGUGUAGAGGUGAAAUUCGUAGAUAUUAGGAAGAACACCAGUGGCGAAGGCGGCUCACUGGCCCGGUACUGACGCUCAUAUGCGAAAGCGUGGGGAGCAAACAGG
rnacentral:rRNA from 1 species